CCUACGGGGGGCAGCAGUAGGGAAUCUUUCACAAUGGGCGAAAGCCUGAUGGAGCAACGCCGCGUGCAGGAUGAAGGCCUUCGGGUUGUAAACUGCUUUUAUAAGCGAGAAAUAUGAUGGUAACUUAUGAAUAAGGAUCGGCUAACUACGUGCCAGCAGCCGCGGUCAUACGUAGGAUCCGAGCAUUAUCCGGAGUGACUGGGUGUAAAGAGUUGCGUAGGUGGCAUAAUAAGUAGCUAGUGAAAUCUGGUGGCUCAACCAUUCAGACUAUUAUCUAAACUGUUAAGCUCGAGACCGUUAGGGGUAACUGGAAUUUCUAGUGUAGGAGUGAAAUCCGUAGAUAUUAGAAGGAACACCAAUCGCGUAGGCAGGUUGCUGGGACGGUUCUGACACUAAGGCACGAAAGCGUAGGGAGCAAACGGGAUUAGAUACCCCAGUAGUC
rnacentral:rRNA from 1 species